rnacentral:rRNA from 1 species
CCUACGGGAGGCAGCAGUGGGGAAUAUUGCACAAUGGGCGCAACCCUGACCCAGCAACGCCGCGUGAAGGAAGAAGGAUUUCGGGUUGUAAACUUCUUUUCUCAGGGACGAAAAUAGUGACGGUACAUGAGGAAUCAGCCACGGCGAACUACGUGCCAGCAGCCGCGGUACUACGUAGGUGGCAAGCGUUAUGCGGAUUUGUUGGGUGAAAAGGGCGUGUAGGCGGGGGCGCAAGUCAGAUGUGAAACCGCAGGGCGCAACCCGGAGACGGCAUUUGAAACUGUGUUUCUUGAGUGCUGGAGAGGCAAUCGGAAUUCCGUGUGUAGCGGGGAAAUGCGGAGAUAGACGGAGGAACACCAGGGGCGAAGGCGGAUUGCUGGACAGUAAAUGACGCUGAGGCGCGAAAGCGGGGGGAGCAAACAGGAUUAGAGACCCCAGUAGUC